GACGAACGCUGGCGGCGUGCUUAACACAUGCAAGUCGAACGGAAAGGCCUCUUUCGGGGGGUACUCGAGUGGCGAACGGGUGAGUAACACGUGAGUAACCUGCCCUUGACUUUGGGAUAACUUCAGGAAACUGGGGCUAAUACCGGAUAGGAGCUCCUGCUGCAUGGUGGGGGUUGGAAAGUUUCGGCGGUUGGGGAUGGACUCGCGGCUUAUCAGCUUGUUGGUGGGGGAGUGGCUUACCAAGGCUUUGACGGGUAGCCGGCCUGAGAGGGUGACCGGCCACAGUGGGACUGAGAUACGGCCCAGACUCCUACGGGAGGCAGCAGUGGGGAAUAUUGCACAAUGGGUGGAAGCCUGAUGCAGCAACGCCGUGUGCGGGAUGACGGCCUUCGGGUUGGAAACCGCUUUCGCUCAUGACGAAGCUUUGUGUGACGGUAGUGGGUAAAGAAGCACCGGCUAACUACGUG
rnacentral:rRNA from 1 species